AUUGAACGCUGGCGGCAUGCUUUACACAUGCAGGUCGAACGGUAGCAGGGUGCUUGCACCGCUGACGAGUGGCGAACGGGUGAGUAAUGCGUCGGAACGUGCCGAGUAGUGGGGGAUAACGCAGCGAAAGUUGUGCUAAUACCGCAUACGUACUGAGGUAGAAAGUGGGGGACCUUCGGGCCUCACGCUAUUCGAGCGGCCGACGUCUGAUUAGCUAGUAGGUGAGGUAAAGGCUCACCUAGGCGACGAUCAGUAGCGGGUCUGAGAGGAUGAUCCGCCACACUGGGACUGAGACACGGCCCAGACUCCUACGGGAGGCAGCAGUGGGGAAUUUUGGACAAUGGGCGAAAGCCUGAUCCAGCCAUGCCGCGUGUCUGAAGAAGGCCUUCGGGUUGUAAAGGACCUUUGUCAGGGAGGAAAUCCCUAGUGCUAAUAACACUGGGGGAUGACAGUACCUGAAGAAUAAGCACCGGCUAACUACGUGCCAGCCGCCGCCGUAA
rnacentral:rRNA from 1 species